AGCUGGAUAGCUCAGUUGGUUUGAGCAUGAGACACUUAAUCCCAGGGUUGUGGGUUUUGAGCCCCACGUUGGGUG